CGGUGAGAUAAUGGCGAGCAGCAUCCACGUACAGCCUUCGUCUCCGAGGUGGAAGGGCUUCAGUGCACCAGUCGCAGAGAAUAGUGCCCGUUUCCCUAUUCUUAGCGUAGAAAGAUAUGCAGCAACUGGCCGAUUGUGACCAGGGAUGAGUCAAUUGAAGGGCACUCUUAAUUAUUGGAGGCCAACGGGGCCAGCGAUCAAGGGGGUUAUUCAGCGGGGUUGACAUAACAUGACAGCAACGCCUGUGGCCGAGCGGAAAAUCACGGCGUUACCUCAGCGGGGAGUCGCUCCGACUUGUGGUGUAGACGGUAGCGAGGUAAAUUAUUAAAGUAGUAUGACAACGCGGCGGUUAAAUGAAUUCGAGUAUUUGAAUUAGAUGUAAAUAUUUAAAUAGCUGUAAGAAAUGGUUGUUUAAUAGUAGCAAUAAAUGGUAAUGAAAAUGUAA